rnacentral:rRNA from 1 species
GAUGAACGCUGGCGGCGUGCCUAAUACAUGCAAGUCGAGCGAACAGACGAGGAGCUUGCUCCUCUGACGUUAGCGGCGGACGGGAGUAACACGUGGAUAACCUACCUAUAAGACUGGGAUAACAUCGGGAAACCGGAGAUAAUACCGGAUAAUAUAUUGAACCGCAUGGUUCAAUAGUGAAAGACGGUUUUGCUGUCACAUAUAGAUGGAUCCGCGCCGCAUUAGCUAGUUGGUAAGGUAACGGCUUACCAAGGCGACGAUGCGUAGCCGACCUGAGAGGGUGAUCGGCCACACUGGAACUGAGACACGGUCCAGACUCCUACGGGAGGCAGCAGUAGGGAAUCUUCCGCAAUGGGCGAAAGCCUGACGGAGCAACGCCGCGUGAGUGAUGAAGGUCUUCGGAUCGUAAAACUCUGUUAUUAGGGAAGAACAAAUGUGUAAGUAACUAUGCACGUCUUGACGGUACCUAAUCAGAAAGCCACGGCUAACUACGUG